CACCACCGCCAGCUCUGUCUCCUGUGUCCCAGUGCUGUCCCAGCCCAGGAUGGCAGUGAGCAAAACAGACAACAGCCCCUGCCCUCGUGGUGCUUAGAGUCAGCGGGGAGUGACGGACAGCACAGAAGUCUGCGGGUCCUGGUGGGGAGCAGGUGCCUGAGACUCUGUCCUGUCUGGACGUGGGGCCUGGGGCAGCGGCAGCAACGUCAUGAACAUGAGGGUGUCAGCUGAGGUGAGAGCUGACCCCAGAGACGGUUCAGCCGGGAGGUCAAAGCAGAGAACUCCGGCGCCUGCCUGGACUCCCAUCGCCCCGCGGCCGCCGGGCUCCCGCGUGUGUGACAGAACCAAUGUCCCUAUCACUCGGGACACUCUGUGGCCAGUUUUCUGUCACUGGCAGCAAUAAACACUGACCCCUGUGCCACCC